CCACCUUCGUUCACCAAAAGUUCUCUCUCCAUUGUUAUCCCUCGCCGCCGCCGCCGCCGCCGCCGCCGGCAUCGUCGGGGCGCUCUGAUUUCCCUAUGGAGACGGCGACCAGCGACGCGAAAGCGGAGAAGAAGGCCGAGUUCGGGGCGUCGGAGAUAGAGUACGCGAGCUACGGCGGAGAGCACCACCUCCCCCUCAUCAUGAGCCUCGUCGACCACGAGCUCAGCGAGCCCUACUCCAUCUUCACCUACCGCUACUUCGUCUACCUCUGGCCUCAGCUCUCCUUCCUGGCGUUCCACAAGGGCAAGUGCGUGGGGACCGUGGUGUGCAAGAUGGGCGAGCAUCGAAGCACCUACCGAGGUUACAUUGCCAUGCUGGUCGUCAUCAAGCCCUACCGAGGGAAAGGCAUAGCCACGGAACUCGUGAGUAGAUCUAUCAGAGUCAUGAAGGAGUCUGGCUGCGAAGAGGUGACUUUGGAAGCAGAAGUCACAAAUAAAGGAGCCCUGGCACUUUAUGGUCGUCUUGGAUUCAUUAGGGCCAAGAGGCUCUUCCGAUACUAUCUGAAUGGAGUCGAUGCAUUCCGUUUAAAGUUGCUAUUUCCACAGCCUGAGCUACACCCUUCUCUGGUUAUGAUGGCGAACGAUGACGAUAGUCAGAGGCAUGCUGCUAACAGCCCACAAGAAGAGUUCCCUGAGCAACAAGAAAGGUUUUAGCAUGGUCUAUUCUUCUAUGGUGGAAAGUGUCGGCAAUAAGUGAAGGAGACAGGUGGAAUGAGGAAUCGUUUGAAAGUGCUGGCCUUGAACCUGUUCCAUUAUAGAUGAUCUUCCUGUGGUCGGUUGUUGGCAACUGGCCCCACGCGAGGGUUGACCUCGCCGGGCUACACUUGGGUGAGGGGAAGCGUUGGCGAGGCCCCCCUCGCCCAAUCCAGGGCGACCUCGCUUUGGGCAAGGGCGAGGCUUGACGAGCACUCAAGCUUUGUCCAUGGCAGCUGACAUCCAUGUCAAGGAAGAUGACGAUGAGGGCUUCGGGGACUUUGCCUUUGCCUCAAGCUUUAUGGCCACUGCCUCCAUUUUCUAGCGGCGGCGGAGUCUUCGCCUUUCAGAAUGAUGAUGAUUGGUCCGAUUUUGUCAGCUCUGGCCCGAUCUUGUCUUCUAAUCCAUAGUCGAUCCUUCGAGCACAUCGAGGCUCGCCGGGCCUCGCCCUCGUUAGAUCUGGCAAGGGAGGUCUGGCCGACACUUGCCCUUGCCCAAGCGUAGCUCGGUGAGAUCGAUCCCCGCCUAUGGCGAUAGAAGGUAAGGGAAAGAAAGAAAAAAAUUCGAAAAAAUCAUUAAAAAAUUAUAAAAAAUGGCAUUAACUUCAACAAUUUUCGGCAUAAAUUGGCUGUAUGGAUUGAAAUAGUACCAAUGUGAAAAUGUUUGGGAUUAUAUUAACCCAAUUGAAAGGUUUAAGAUUGAAUUGGUACCAAUAUAAUAAAUUUAUGACUUUUUUGGGUACUUUUUCCUAUUUUCAAGCCAUGUUGCUACGGGUGAGCCGCUGCCAACACGGGUAACACUGUAUUGUUUACGGGUCUAGGUGAGGAUGUCUGCUACAUUUUCUUUCUUUUUCACCUCUAUGUAGUCAUCUUUAAAAAGGAAAAAGGCAUCCAAGAAACAUAAGAAUGAAAGCUGAUUUGUAAAUUUGAUUUAGCUAAUAAUUUCCGGUUUCUAUGAAGAAGAAUGUCUUUUUAUA